AGGACGAACGCUGGCGGCGUGCUUAACACAUGCAAGUCGAACGGAAAGGCCCCUUCGGGGGUACUCGAGUGGCGAACGGGUGAGUAACACGUGGGUGAUCUGCCCUGCACUUCGGGAUAAGCCUGGGAAACUGGGUCUAAUACCGGAUAUGACCAUGGGAUGCAUGUCUUGUGGUGGAAAGCUUUUGCGGUGUGGGAUGGGCCCGCGGCCUAUCAGCUUGUUGGUGGGGUUAAGGCCUACCAAGGCGACGACGGGUAGCCGGCCUGAGAGGGUGACCGGCCACACUGGGACUGAGAUACGGCCCAGACUCCUACGGGAGGCAGCAGUGGGGAAUAUUGCACAAUGGGCGCAAGCCUGAUGCAGCGACGCCGCGUGAGGGACGACGGCCUUCGGGUUGUAAACCUCUUUCAGCACAGACGAAGCGCAAGUGACGGUAUGUGCAGAAGAAGGACCGGACCAACUACGUGCCAGCAGCCGC
rnacentral:rRNA from 1 species